UACGUAGGGUGCGAGCGUUAAUCGGAAUUACUGGGCGUAAAGCGUGCGCAGGCGGUUUUGUAAGCCAGAUGUGAAAGCCCCGGGCUUAACCUGGGAAUGGCAUUUGGGACUGCAAGGCUUGAGUGCGGCAGAGGAGACUGGAAUUCCUGGUGUAGCAGUGAAAUGCGUAGAUAUCAGGAGGAACACCGAUGGCGAAGGCAGGUCUCUGGGCCACUACUGACGCUGAGAAGCGAAAGCAUGGGGAGCGAACAGG
rnacentral:rRNA from 1 species